UACGUAGGUGGCGAGCGUUGUCCGGAUUUAUUGGGUUUAAAGGGUGCGUAGGCGGCUUAUUAAGUCAGUGCUGAAAUAUCCCGGCUUAACCGGGAGGGUGGCAUUGAUACUGAUGAGCUUGAGUGGAUUCGAGGUAGGCGGAAUUGACGGUGUAGCGGUGAAAUGCUUAGAUAUCGUCAAGAACACCGAUAGUGAAGACAGCCUACUAGACUUCAACUGACGCUGAUGCACGAAAGUGUGGGGAUCAAACAGG
rnacentral:rRNA from 1 species